UAACGCGAAGAACCUUACCAAGGCUUGACAUACACCGGAAACGGCCAGAGAUGGUCGCCCCCUUGUGGUCGGUGUACAGGUGGUGCAUGGUUGUCGUCAGCUCGUGUCGUGAGAUGUUGGGUUAAGUCCCGCAACGAGCGCAACCCUCGUUCUAUGUUGCCAGCGCGUUAUGGCGGGGACUCAUAGGAGACUGCCGGGGUCAACUCGGAGGAAGGUGGGGAUGACGUCAAAUCAUCAUGCCCCUUAUGUCUUGGGCUUCACGCAUGCUACAAUGGCCGGUACAAAGGGCUGCGAUACCGUAAGGUGGAGCGAAUUCCAAAAAGCCGGUCUCAGUUCGGAUUGAGGUCUGCAACUCGACCUCAUGAAGUCGGAGUCGCUAGUAAUCGCAGAUCAGCA
rnacentral:rRNA from 1 species